CAGCCACAUCACAUUGAAACAGCAAUUCCCAUACAAUCAUCAAAGUUAAGCAAUAUCAAGCCUGGUCAGUACUUAGAUGGGUGACUGCUUGGAAAUACUAGGUGCUGUAAG